rnacentral:rRNA from 1 species
CCUACGGGAGACAGCAGUAGGGAAUCUUUCACAAUGGGCGAAAGCCUGAUGGAGCAACGCCGCGUGCAGGAUGAAGGCCUUCGGGUUGUAAACUGCUUUUAUAAGCGAGAAAUAUGAUGGUAACUUAUGAAUAAGGAUCGGCUAACUACGUGCCAGCAGCCGCGGUCAUACGUAGGAUCCAGCAUUAUCCGGGGUGACUGGGUGUAAAGAGUUGCGUAGGUGGCAUAAUAAGUAGCUAGUGAAAUGUGGUGGCUCAACCAUUCAGACUAUUAGCUAAACUGUUAAGCUCGAGACCGUUAGGGGUAACUGGAAUUUCUAGUGUAGGAGUGAAAUCCGUAGAUAUUAGAAGGAACACCAAUAGCGUAGGCAGGUUGCUGGGACGGUUCUGACACUAAGGCACGAAAGCGUAGGGAGCAAACGGGAUUAGAUACCCUAGUAGUC